AACCGCAGGGGCGGUUUUAACUGACUUCGCUUCUCUUUGGACACAAGUUCCAGUUUCUUCGUUGCAACUGGACAUUAAACACUCACCGACUCUCAGUUUGCAGAUGAUGCCGUGACCUCGGAGCUGCAGAGCUGUCAGUGAUGGAGGACCUCUGGUGUGUGGCUGUGGGGGUUUUCCAGGUGUGGAUGUUUGUGGUGGUGUUCCUCAUCAUGCUGCCGGCCAUGUUCGGCCUCUCUCUGGGGGUCACCGGGGUCUACAUCCAGAUCCUGGUCCAAAUCCUGGAGUGGGCAACGUUACGAAUCCAGAGAGGACGGCAGCAGCAGCCCAGCGUGCCCGUGCCUCUGCCCAACGGUGAGUGAGG